rnacentral:misc_RNA from 1 species
AACACAUGGCAACACUUGAAAACGGGCCCUAGUCUUGCUGAUGCCGCCUUGGGAAGAAUUGCUCAGGGAACGAAGGUUCUGGCAGAAGGUGGCUAUGAUAAGAUAUUUCGGCAAACAUUUGAGACUGUUCCUGAGGAGCAACUUCAGAAUUCAUUUGCAUGUUACCUGUCCACAUCAGCUGGUCCAGUUAUGGGAGUAUUAUAUGUUUCCACAGCUAAGCUUGCCUUCUGUAGUGAUAACCCUCUCUCCUAUAAAGCCGAAGAUAAGACUGAAUGGAGCUAUUAUAAGGUAGUUAUCCCAUUACACCAGCUCAAGGCAAUUAAUUCUUCAUCAAGCAGGACUAAUCCAUCUGAAAAAUAUGUCCAGACUAUAUCAGUCGAUAACCAUGAAUUUUGGUUUAUGGGGUUUCUAAAUUACAGUGGUGCAGUGAAUUGCCUGCAGGAGGCAUUACAAGCACGCAACUUACAUUCCGUGUGAGUCUGUUGUUGGUCUUAAACGCGUUUCCUGAGAGGGUGUGAUUCAUUAUACAGAAAGUUAGACUUCCCUUGAGUUCGUUCCAUCUGGUUGCCAUUAAAGAUACUGAAGAAAAAUAUGGUAAGAAAGAACGGUAGUGAAUUUGGAUUCUAUGGUAUCACUUGCUUCCGUCUCUAGUCUCUGUUGUAUUGUAUAAACUGUGACUGAUUAAAACAUAUUAUCGGUUUAACGAGCUUUAGAAUGUGAAGCACAU